rnacentral:miRNA from 1 species
GGAGAAUUGCUUGAAUCUGGGAGGUGGAGGCUGCAGUGAGCUGAGAUCACACCACUGCACUCCAGCCUGAGUGACAGAGCAAGACUCUGUCUC